CCUACGGGGGGCAGCAGUAGGGAAUAUUGCUCAAUGGGGGAAACCCUGAUGCAGCAACGCCGCGUGGAGGAUGAAGGUUUUCGGAUUGUAAACUCCUUUUGUUGGAGAAGAUAGUGACGGUAUCUAACGAAUAAGCACCGGCUAACUCCGUGCCAGCAGCCACGGUAAUACGGAGGGUGCAAGCGUUACUCGGAAUCACUGGGCGGAAAGAGCGCGUAGGCGGGAUAGCAAGUCAGAUGUGAAAUCCUAUGGCUUAACCAUAGAACUGCAUUUGAAACUGUUAUUCUAGAGUAUGGGAGAGGUAGGUGGAAUUCUUGGUGUAGGGGUAAAAUCCGUAGAGAUCUAGAGGAAUACUCAUUGCGAAGGCGACCUGCUAGAACAUAACUGACGCUGAUGCGCGAAAGCGUGGGGAGCAAACAGGAUUAGAUACCCUUGUAGUC
rnacentral:rRNA from 1 species